UCGAUCCCUGGAAUCAGGGCAGGAGACUGGGACCUGCUGCACCCAGCAGCUGGUGGCCCAGACAAGGCAUGGGACAGGAACAAGAAGCUUUAUGCCCAGUGGUGUCCAAUCAGCCGUCUACUGCUAGUCACCUGACCCAGCUGCGUCAGUGGGUGUAGCUCUGGCAGUGGGGUGUUCACUGCAGUUCCCUGGGCUGGCCUUGCUUGGCAGGGGUGCAGCGGGUGGCCAUUUGCUGCCCGCCUGUCUCCUGCCCGUCACUCGGCUCGCUGAACCUUGUGCCAUGGCCUCUGCCUCGGUUUCACUAGAGUCAUCUGGGAGAGCUGGGUGUGCGUCCGUGCGGCGACGGGGCAGCCGGCGUCACUGUUCCCAGGGAGCAGCAGAGGCUGCUGUAGCACCAGAACAGACUAACAGCUGACCACCCUUGCAUUCAUCACAGCACCCUGCCCACAGAGCCAGGUUAGGAGAUGUGACCAAGCAGGACUGUUCCUAAUGUUUCCUCUGAAUAGUGUGGGGGUGCCUCAGUUUCCCCUAGGCAGUUCUUAAGUAUCUAGGGGGUGGG